CGACGGCGUGACAACUGUUGCGUAAUCAACUGUACCUAAUUUUGAACCUCUCUCCAUUUUUCAGGACACUCAUUUAGAAUUGGUCUUUGAGCCACGGAGAGCAAAGGACCCAGAGACAGCCAAAGUCAUACGAUGGGACCCUUGGUGUGACUGGUUACUACUUACCUGUAG